rnacentral:rRNA from 1 species
UAGGGAAUCUUCGGCAAUGGACGAAAGUCUGACUGAGCAACGCUGCGUGAGUGAAGAAGGUUUUCGGAUCGUAAAACUCUGUUGUUAGAGAAGAACAAGGACGUUAGUAACUGAACGUCCCCUGACGGUAUCUAACCAGAAAUCUACGGCUAACUACGUGCCAGCAGCCGCGGUAAUACGUAGGUGGCAAGCGUUGUCCGGAUUUUUUGGGCGUAAAGCGAGCGCAGGCGGUUUCUUACGUCUGAUGUGAAAGCGCCCGGCUCAACCGGGGAUGGUUAUUGGUAACUAGGAUACUUGAGUGCAGAAAAGGAGAGUGGAAUUCCAUGUGUAGCGGUGAAAUGCGCAGAUGUAUGGAAGAACACCAGUGGCGAAAGCGGGUCUCUGGUCUAUAACUGACGCUGAGGCUCGAAAGCGUGAGGAGCAAACAGG